GCCUGGAUGGCUUAGUUGGUAGAGCAUAUGAGUCUUGAUCUCAGGGUCAUGAGUUCAAGCCCCAUGUUGGGCA
rnacentral:tRNA from 1 species